UGACCUGAGCUCAGGCAAGACUACCCGCUGAACUUAAGCAUAUCAAUAAGCGGAGGAAAAGAAACUAACCAGGAUGCGCUCAGUAAUGGCGAACGAACCGCGCAANGCCCAACUNGAAAAUCUCCCUUNGGGAAUUGUAGUCUAUGGNGNANACUCUGCGGGGAGNGACGCUCAGUCCCUGGAAAGGGGCGUCAAAAAGGGGAAA
rnacentral:rRNA from 1 species